CGCUGCCUGAUGCACACGCGUCCAGCUUUGCUGGGCCAAUGGUGGCGCUUGCUCCAAUUUCUGCCUCCCUUUUUUCGCCAAUCACCGUGCAGCGACUGCUCAUUUCUUACCAAUAGAAUAUUCGCUGCUCUAUUUCCUGCCAAUCAAACGCCGCACCGGCUCUUCCAUUUCUGGCCACUCAUGUCAUCCAGUGCGGUCUGUCAUCUCUACGAAUCACGGAUCCCAGGUAGGCUAGGACAUUUUUUCUAUUAAUAAUGAAUUAUUAAGUUUAUUUAGUUUAGUAAUUAGUUACAUUUCUCUAACUAAGACUAUGGGACAGUGGUGGUAUGCUGCAGCAUUUGUGAGUGUCAUUAACUAGCAUUAGUGGUAGUAUAACUGUUAACGUAAGGUAAAUGAUGUUGUUGACAUUAGCUUGCUAACAUUAGAACCAGUCUGGAUGGUUAGAACUAGCUAACAUUAACGUUAGACAGCUUCUUUUUGCUCUGUCUCGCCUUCUCACAUUUUCUCACAAUUUGCCAGACUGUCAGAUAUUUAACGUUAGCUCAACAACGUGUGAGUGAGUCAUAUCACAAUUUACGAUUGCGAAGUUGUGAUAGCGUUAUAGGCCUAUCUAUCAUGUUAGGAUAGUUUACAAUGUUGACAGUCAUAUCAUAAUUGUAAUGGCAUCAAUGAAGAAAAGAAGACAUCAGGAAAGGAGUGGUAUACCAGACUUAAAAAGUAUGCCAACACAGGGACCUGACCCUAAGGUGAAAAAGUGGCACGACCUCUAUUAAAAGUGAUUAUUUAAAAGUGUAACACCAGCUCUCAAGGACACAGGUGUCACACCAUCAGGUCCAGGUCUCUUUCAAGCCCUGGAAAGUGCUUGAUAAACUGGUGAACUUCCAUUAGUGUGGCCCCCACCAACAGACAUCUUGCUGUCAUGUGUCAGGACCCAGCUACCUCCUCCAUCCAAGCUUUUGGACAUUGACCCCAUCUCCUGCAUCACCACUGGCCCGGUCUCCUCCUCAAUCACCACUGGCCUCACCGCCUCCUCCAUCACCACUGGCCCCGCCACCUUCUCCAUCGCCU